rnacentral:rRNA from 1 species
GAAUCCGCCAAGGAGUGUGUAACAACUCACCUGCCGAAUGAAUUAGCCCUGAAAAUGGAUGGCGCUCAAGCGGGUGGCCGACACCAUGCCGUCUGGGCAAUGUGACUCCCAGAUGAGUAGGAGGGCGUGGCGGCCGUGUCGAAGCGUGCGUGCAGACGUUUGUGGAACGGCCGCUAGUGCAGAUCUUGGUGGUAGUAGCAAGUAUUCAAGCGAGAUCCUUGAAGGGCGAAGCGGGGAAGGGUUCCACGCGAACAUUGAUUGGGCGUGGGUGAGUCGUUCCUAAGCCGAGUGGCAAUUGCUAAGUAGCGGCGAAAGGGAAGCGGGUUGACAUUCCCGCACACGGAUGUGGAGGCGGCGACGCACUUUUUUGUUUGGGGCGAACACGCUGGCGACGGCGCUGGGCAGAGUUGUCUUUUCUGUUUGACCGUUCAGCGCGCGCUGUGUGGAAUCCGCUUGUCGGGAGAAACACGCGUGUGCGGGCAGAGCGCCGGGGCUUUUCCGGCGUCCAGCUCGCCGUCGACGGCCCUUGAAACUUUGCCUGCUGGAAAAUUUUUUUAAGAUCCACGCCGUGGCGUACCGAUCACCGCAUCAGGUCCCCGAGGUGAACAGCCUCUGCUCUAUAUGAAUAAUGCAGGUAAGGGAAGUCGGCA